AUUGAACGCUGGCGGCAUGCCUUACACAUGCAAGUCGAACGGCAGCACGGGAGCAAUCCUGGUGGCGAGUGGCGAACGGGUGAGUAAAGUAUCGGAACGUGCCCAGUCGUGGGGGAUAACGUAGCGAAAGUUACACUAAUACCGCAUACGAUCUAUGGAUGAAAGCGGGGGAUCGCAAGACCUCGCGCGAUUGGAGCGGCCGAUAUCAGAUUAGGUAGUUGGUGGGGUAAAGGCUCACCAAGCCGACGAUCUGUAGCUGGUCUGAGAGGACGACCAGCCACACUGGGACUGAGACACGGCCCAGACUCCUACGGGAGGCAGCAGUGGGGAAUUUUGGACAAUGGGCGCAAGCCUGAUCCAGCCAUGUCGCGUGCAGGAUGAAGGCCUUCGGGUUGUAAACUGCUUUUGUACGGAACGAAAAGGUUUGGCUUAAUACGUUGAACUCAUGACGGUACCGUAAGAAUAAGCACCGGCUAACUACGUGCCAGCCGCCGCCGUAA
rnacentral:rRNA from 1 species